CUACUACUACUACUACUACUACUACUACUACUACUACUACUGCUACUACUACUACUACUACUACUACUGCUACUACUACUACUACUACUACUACUGCUACUACUACUACUACUACUACUACUACUACUACUGCUACUACUACUACUACUACUGCUACUACUACUACACUGCUACUACUACUACUACUACUACUGCUACUACUACUACUACUACUACUACUACUACUACUGCUACUACUACUACUGCUACUACUACUACUACUACUACUACUACUGCUACUACUACUACUACUACUACAGGAAAAGCUCUUUCUAUGCUAAAUACAUUAACUUAAUUGUUCUUUAGUUAAAGUUUAGACGCAAUCCUUUAUAUGGCAAGAGCAGUGCUCAUAAAGCACGAGAGUGAAAAUAUUCACAGAUAAUUAAAUACGUCUGUGAAUCCAUUAUUAGAUCAAUGAAAUAACUGAAUCCAAGACAGUUACAAUGCUAUUGUAUCGGACAAGUAGUAAGCAGUAAUAAAACAACUUUAAUUGGACUACAACAUUGAAAUCAUUUGCCACUCAUUCCCAGAAAGAUGAAGCCUCUCACUUUCCCACUAGCCUCUUACCCCCAGCCCAUUCUCUCUACAAGAAGAAUCUGUCUGGCUGUUGUCAUGGAGCACAUCAAACGCAAACAGAGGGAUCAGGUAUCCUGCCUUAUCUAGGCCUUGUCCAUCAGGCCCUUCAGCAGGGGCUUAGCACAGCACUGUGGCCAGAGGCAGGUGGGAGGGAGGCAGCAGGCAGACAAGCAGACAGGCAGGCAGGCAGGCCAGAUCACAGGUCCUUCCUCGGGGGAGCUGUCUGCUGCCGCAGCUGGCCAUAGCCUGAUAAGACACACAGCAACACAACAGAGAAAUACAGCACACACACUUAUAAACGCGCACGCACACACACACGCGCACAAACACGCGCACACUCCCACCACAUCAGACAUCAGAGGCAUUCGCAAUUUUUUUUCUAUUUUUCCCAUCCUUGAAAAGGAGGGAUUGUUAGGGCCAUCAUAGAGGAGUUUCAAGCCACACCAAGAACUGAAAGACGGCGGCGGUGUUGGGAGCGUCUUCGGGAUCUCACUGAGAAAAACACCAACCAGUCUACAAAGCUGUCAAGGUCAAGGGCCAGACUUCUACAGCAGGGCUACGUGUCAAUAUCAAAUGACUCCCUAUUCCCAGCAUAGCGCACAGCUUUUAGUAUUUAGUAUUUUUUGUAUUUUAUUUUGGAUUCCCUGGAUCUGUUUCUGAGGCAGCGGCGACUCUUCCUGGGCUCCACUCAAAACAUGACACACAUAGAACAUCAAUAGACAAGAACAGCUCAAAGACUGAACUACACAAACCUGGGCCCUGGUCAAAAGUAGUAGGGAAUGGGGAACAUGGUGGCGUUUUGGACUUAAUGGUACAGUAAUAGAGGCCUUGUUUGUUGCCCGGGGAUGAAACAGAGAUCAUACAAACAUCCGGUGUGAACCUGUGUUGGGUUGCAACACGAGUUCACAAAUCAAUGACAUCGGGCAUCCUUUUCCCAGGGCAGCAGGUGUUCCAAGGCUGUCGUUUGAAGGCCACACACAAGGCGCGCACACACACACACACACACACACACACACACACACACACACACACACACACACACACACACACACACACGGCGCAGCACACAUACUCUAGUCACGCAAACAAACCUGCUGCUAUAUUUAGGGACGCACAGUUAUCAGUUAAAAGGCUCUGAUGUGCUUAUCAGGACCGGUCUGUCAGGGAACAUCAGCUGCUGCUCCAUUGUCAUAACACAUCUUAACAGAUGAGAGGAAGGGAAUGCACACACGCACGCACACACGCAUGCACACACACGCACGCACACACACACACACACACACACACACACACACACACACACACACACACACACACACACCACACACACACACACUUCAUAGUGGACGGGUGAUGGAACCACACCUGUGUGGAAUCACCUGCUUUCAAUAUACUUUGUAUCCCUCGUUUGCUCUAGUGUUUCCAUUAUUUUGGCAGUUACCUUCUUUACUUGGUUAGAUUGCUUGAAAGGGCUAAGUAAAAUAAAUACUAGCCCUUUUGACUGAACCUGAACAAUGAGCAUUCAACUAUAUCAUUCAAAGUAUAUGGCAGGUAGCCUAGUGGUUGGAGCGUUGGACUAGUAACCGCAAGGUUGCAAGAUCAAAUCCCUGAGCUGACAAAGUAAAAAUCUGUUGUUUUGCCCCUGAACAAGGCAGUUAACCUACUGUUCCUAGGCUCUCAUUGAAAAUAAGAAUUAGUUCUUACUGUUACUAGGCUCUCAUUGAAAAUAAGAAUUAGUUCUUAACUGACUUGCCUAGUGAUAUAUAAAUAAAUGUACAAAUGGGAGGGUCAAAUUAAUUUAAUCUGGAUGUGAAUCUAUCUCAUUGAUCAACUUUUGACUCUCUUUGGUCAUAUUAUAUGAAUUAAUUUGUCAUUCUCCUAUAUCCUUUACCCUUUAUCAUAUAGCUUAGAAAAAUAAAGGGACUCAGCUCUAUAACUUCUUCAUUAACAAGAAACAAAUUGGCUAUGUCCCAAAUCGCACCCCAUUCCAUAUAUAGUGCACUACUUUUGACCAGAACCCUAGUCAAGAGUAGUGGACUACAGAAGCAGAAAGGGUGGCAUUUUGGAUGCUACCGUUGAAACAGAGAAGAGAUGGGACAGCAAUGUGAAGAAUGGCAGUGGAUAUUGUGAGCACAGAGCGAGGUGGUUCUCCUGCUGGCCUUGACAGAUGUGUUCUCUCUGAUAUCUAACUAAAUAGAGUCUUUGAUUGAGCCAGCAGGCAGACAUCCCAGCUCUGUCAGGCUCUCCUCAUAAAACUAUCCAUUCACAACCCACUGAUCCUCCAGCUAAUAUUUCACCUGGGUUUUUUUUUCUUCCAUUCUGAAGGAAAUAUUUCUCUACAUUCUCAUAUCUGUAAAUGUUACAUUUGUUAUAAGUAUUUGAGGAUUCUUAAUGGAAGUUAGUGUGAUUAGUAUGACAGCACAAAUAGCGGCCAUUUUGGUGAUUUCGGAACCUUUUCAUAUUUUGUAUCCGAAGAGUAGUGAGUCAUAAUUAUCUAAAGUCACAAUAACCUGAAGCCAAAAUGUCUGGGUUGUCUGACAUGUCAUGAUAAAACCAUACCAGUGCCUAUACCAGUCAGUGCAGUAUCCUUAAUACCUAGGUUGUCUGACAUGUCAUGAUAAAACCAUACAAGUGCCUAUACCAGUCAGUGCAGUAUCCUUAAUACCUAGGUUGUCUGACAUGUCAUGAUAAAACAAUACAAGUGCCUAUACCAGUCAGUGCAGUAUCCUUAAUACCUAGGUCGUCUGACAUGUCAUGAUAAAAUCAUACCAGUGCCUACCAGUAAAUGCAGUAUCCUUAAUUCCUGCCAGGUGGCACUCUUGCCUGUUCUCUGUGCAUCAGAAAGGCUCUGUGACCUGUGAGUGUUGACUGGUGUCUAUCAGUAGAUGGUGCUAGCCCCGUGCGGGGAGAUUGUCCUUAAUGUCUGGGCCCUGCCAGGAGAAACACACAGAGCCGUGAUUACGUUUAACAAGAAGCGGAUCAUGAAAGACAGAAACCGGCAGAUAAAUACAUUACACACAACUCCUGUUGUCAUCGUUCUGCUCUUUGAUGGUCUGACCCUCUCCCUCUCCCUCCCAAAAUAAACCCUCUUCCUCCCCGGGCCUGGGAAUCACACUCGGACGUUCAAUUGGCUGGAAAGAUUCUCGACGCUUCAUUUCAGAGCAGAUAUAGAUAAAUAAAUGAGUAUGAUCA
ensembl:lncRNA